rnacentral:miRNA from 1 species
AGAGGCAGGUGGAUCUCCAUGAGUUCGAGGCCAGCCUGGUCUACAGAAUGAGUUCUAGGACAGCCAGGGCUACACAGAGAAAUCCUGUCUCAAAA